GCCCUCGUAGCUCAGUUAGGAUAGAGCACAAGAUUCCUAAUCUUGGUGUCGGACGUUCGAGUCGUCUCGGGGGCACCA
rnacentral:tRNA from 1 species